UGGAAGAAGGGGAACUACAACUUUUUGUUAUGUUAGCAAAAACUCUUUCUAAGUAAUUGAAACACGUAAUACCCGGCAACAGUCCGCACCUUAAUAUUUGCGUACUCCACAGCAGCCCUAAAAGGGUGGCACUUUCUUACCAGCUAAACUAGCCUAAAUACAAAAAGAGCAACCAUCAUAUUAACUUCCGGAAUCUUUCGUUACUUACUAUGGCCGUUAAUACAGCUCUUCAGCAGUUUAAUAUGGCUUCUAGUUCUGAGAAGCUAAUACUACUUCAAGCUUGCUCUGACGAAUUAGUCGCGAGAACCACCGAUCUCCACGAUUUUAUAUUGGCUCUAGGGCCCCUUUUAACAAGC